UAUCAAGAAAUAAAAUGGAAACAUUUAAAACUGGCGGUGGACCUGCAAAUAUACAACCACUUACUUUUGCUGAAGAAAUUCUUUUAUCUUUUUUACCGUCCACUAUUCAAGGAUUGCCUUCCGUUUUUGAUUCUGAUAGAAUAUUAGCAGAUAAACAAAUGUGUGUGUGUGUCAAAACGCAAAACCUCUUUAGCAGAAACAGUUGUUAUAAAAGACAAUAUAAAUGAUGAAUCUCAAACUCAAGAUACUGAUGAUCAAUUUGAAUGGAUAUAUGAAACACUUAAUGUAGAUGAAGUUAAUGAUGAAGAUAAAACAGAAAACGCAGCCUAUUUCAGUGAUGUAGAAGAUGAUACAAAAUAUACAAAUAAAAAGCGAUUACCUUUAGAAGACGUUUUUAAUACACAUUCAAGCGCACAUGUAAAAAAAAUAAAACAUACGAUAUUGAUGAUAAUAAUAUAAAAAGCGUACUUGAUUUAAAAAAUAGUGAAA